UACGUGAGGGUGCGAGCGUUAAUCGGAAUUACUGGGCGUAAAGCGUGCGCAGGCGGUUCGUUGUGUCGGUGGUGAAAGCCCCCGGGCUUAACCUGGGAAUGGCCAUGGAAACUGGCGAACUGGAGUGUGGCAGAGGGGGGUGGGAAUUCCGCGUGUAGCAGUGAAAUGCGUAGAGAUGUGGAGGAAUACCGAUGGCGAAGGCAGCCCCCUGGGAUAACACUGACGCUCAUGCACGAAAGCGUGGGGAGCAAACAGG
rnacentral:rRNA from 1 species